rnacentral:rRNA from 1 species
AGAAUCAACGCUGGCGGCGUGCCUAACACAUGCAAGUCGAACGAGAAAGUGGUAGCAAUACCAUGAGUAAAGUGGCGCACGGGUGAGUAACACGUGACUAACCUACCCUUGAGUGGGGGAUAACUGAGGGAAACCUUAGCUAAUACCGCAUAAUACCCACGGGUCAAAGGAGCAAUUCGCUCGAGGAGGGGGUCGCGGCCGAUUAGUUAGUUGGCAGGGUAAUGGCCUACCAAGACGAUGAUCGGUAUCCGGCCUGAGAGGGCGCACGGACACACUGGAACUGAAACACGGUCCAGACUCCUACGGGAGGCAGCAGUGGGAAUUUUGCGCAAUGGGGGAAACCCUGACGCAGCAACGCCGCGUGGAGGAUGAAGUCCUUCGGGACGUAAACUCCUUUCGAUCGGGACGAUUAUGACGGUACCGGAAGAAGAAGCCCCGGCUAACUUCGUGCCAGCAGCCGC